GCCUUCGGGGUGUGUUAGCAUGUAGGCCUUCCAAGUCUGAGGUUCCAAGAAAUAUGGGCGGAGGUA
rnacentral:tRNA from 1 species